UACAGAGGUCCCGAGCGUUGUCCGGAUUUACUGGGCGUAAAGAGCGCGCAGGCGGUCGUUCAAGUCGCGUGUGAAAGCCCCCGGCUCAACUGGGGAGGGUCACGCGAUACUGAUCGACUCGAAGGCAGGAGAGGGUAGUGGAAUUCCCGGUGUAGUGGUGAAAUGCGUAGAUAUCGGGAGGAACACCAGUGGCGAAGGCGACUACCUGGCCUGUUCUUGACGCUGAGGCGCGAAAGCUAGGGGAGCAAACGGG
rnacentral:rRNA from 1 species